rnacentral:rRNA from 1 species
UUUGCAUAUCAAUAAGCGGAGGAAUAGAAACCAACCGGGAUUGCCUUAGUAACGGCGAGUGAAGCGGCAAAAGCUCAAAUUUGAAAUCUGGUACCUUCGGUGCCCGAGUUGUAAUUUGGAGAGGGCAACUUUGGGGCCGUUCCUUGUCUAUGUAUAAAGGAACAGGACGUCAUAGAGGGUGAGAAUCCCGUGUGGCGAGGAGUGCGGUUCUUUGUAAAGUGCCUUCGAAGAGUCGAGUUGUUUGGGAAUGCAGCUCUAAGUGGGUGGUAAAUUCCAUCUAAAGCUAAAUAUUGGCGAGAGACCGAUAGCGAACAAGUACAGUGAUGGAAAGAUGAAAAGAACUUUGAAAAGAGAGUGAAAAAGUACGUGAAAUUGUUGAAAGGGAAGGGCAUUUGAUCAGACAUGGUGUUUUGUGCCCUCUGCUCCUUGUGGGUAGGGGAAUCUCGCAUUUCACUGGGCCAGCAUUCUAAAUUUUGGUGGCAGGAUAAAUCCAUAGGAAUGUAGCUUGCCUUUUAUGUAUUAUAGCCUGUGGGAAUACUGCCAGCUGGACUGAAGACUGCGACGUAAGUCAAUGUGCAUAUCAAUACGUCAGAAGAGG